rnacentral:tRNA from 1 species
GGUUCGGUCGCCGAGUGGUAGGCAUCCGACGGGGCAUCCGAAGACUCAGGUUCAAUUCCUGGCUGAGUUA